UAAUAAAUACGUUAAAAAUUAAAUACUAUGUCUGAUUAAAGUAAUAAAUUGUAAAUUUAUUUAAGAA
rnacentral:tRNA from 1 species